GCCCCCAUAGCCCAAUUGGCAGAGGCAGCCGGCUUAAAACCGGCGCGUUGCGAGUUCGAGUCUCGCUGGGGGCA
rnacentral:tRNA from 1 species